GGAAGACAGUGGAUGGAUCCUGGACAUGACCUUGCUCCUUAGUGACCCACGACAGUCACCCUGGAGGCUGUUUCCUGAAGUGGCAACCCCAUGGCUCGGAUUUGUCCUCACCCACAACAUCACGUCCUGCUAUCUGCCUUUCCCACCAGAACCACUGAGAAAGUUUGGGGACCAAAGACCACAAUCAAAAUCUGAACAGUUUUCAUUCCUGCAAGGAUGUCUAGUAUGGUUCUUUAUAACCAUAUCCAGCUACCUCUUGCCACCGUUCCUAA